rnacentral:rRNA from 1 species
AGUGAACGCUGGCGGUAGGCCUAACACAUGCAAGUCGAACGGCAGCACAGUAAGAGCUUGCUCUUACGGGUGGCGAGUGGCGGACGGGUGAGGAAUACAUCGGAAUCUACUUGUUCGAGGGGGAUAACGUAGGGAAACUUACGCUAAUACCGCAUACGACCUACGGGUGAAAGCAGGGGAUCUUCGGACCUUGCGCGAUUGAAUGAGCCGAUGUCGGAUUAGCUAGUUGGCGGGGUAAAGGCCCACCAAGGCGACGAUCCGUAGCUGGUCUGAGAGGAUGAUCAGCCACACUGGAACUGAGACACGGUCCAGACUCCUACGGGAGGCAGCAGUGGGGAAUAUUGGACAAUGGGCGCAAGCCUGAUCCAGCCAUACCGCGUGGGUGAAGAAGGCCUUCGGGUUGUAAAGCCCUUUUGUUGGGAAAGAAAAGCAGCAGGUUAAUACCUCGCUGUUCUGACGGUACCCACAGAAUAAGCACCGGCUAACUUCGUG